AACGAACGCUGGCGGCAUGCCUAACACAUGCAAGUCGAACGAGACCUUAGUAACUGGUGGCGCACGGGUGCGUAAAGCGUGGGAACCUGCCCGUAGGCACGGAAUAACACCCUGUCGUGGGUGCUAAUGCCGGGUAAUGUAUUCGGACACAAGAUUUAUCGCGCUUGUAGGGGCCGGCGUUGGUUUAGCUAGUUGGUAGGGUAAGAGCCUACCACGGCGACGAUCCAUAGCUGGUCUGAGAGGAAGAUCAGCCACACUGGGACUGAGACGCGGCGCAGACUCCUACGGGAGGGAGCAGUGGGGAAUAUUGGACAAUGGGCGAGAGGCUGAUCCAGCAAUGCCGCGAGAGUGAUGAAGGCCGUAGGGUUGUAAAGCUCUUUUACCCGGGAUGAUAAUGACAGUACCCGGAGAAUAAGCACCGGCUAACUCCGUG
rnacentral:rRNA from 1 species